ensembl:lncRNA
CAACCCUCAGGUGCAGAUUUUAAGCGUCUUCAAACUUAAACAAGAAGAGAGAGCUAAACAAAUCCCUCUUGAUUCAAUCAAAUACCUCUUUCCAGCCAGCGGGAGUAACAGGCUUUGGGUGUUAGAUGGCUGGCCUGAGUGGAUUAAUAACUUGCUUUGUCUUAUCAGCCGAGUUUCAUCUAGAAAUAAAUCCCACCUGAUCUCUGCGAACAUGGCACGGAAUGAUUCCAGAGAGCACGGAGGACGAGAUGCUCACGCUCUGUGUGGUGCAGGAAGGGCUGUGGGCUGGCCUGGGGCCGUGAGGUCGGGGCUGGGACUUUGCCAUGACAGCAGCACUCUGAUGGAGCGAGACACGAUGUGGGGAGAAAUCCAGCAGAGACUUCUUUUCUCCCUCACUCAGACUCCCACCUCAAGGCUCGAUUUCCACGAUGCCUCCCAUGGGAAAUUCCAUGGAAAAAUAUCAUUUCUCUCUGUCCAAAUAGAAGGGAUGAUUUUCUUGUCAGUCUCCAAAUUGGCCUCCUUGGGACCACGCUCUGAGAUGGUGAUGUCUACAUUACGGAAUAGAGACAACUCUCACCUUACCAAAACAGAGAAGGAAAGAAAAAUGGUGGUUAAUAGAAUCUCUCUUCUCAAAAAACAAACAAACAAACAGAACAAAACAAACAAAAACAUUACAAAAAAUCCUACAGACAGAGAGCCCUCAGACUGUGCCAUUCCUUAGGGUUUCAGCUCAGACUUCUUCAGGGACACUCCAACCUGAUUAAACUCCUAGGGAGACGCAGUUCAGAAAUUUAAUAGCCAAUACAGAUAUCAUAAAAGCCUGACUGUUGUUUGUGGUCAACGGUGCAGUUUUCUUUGAGCAGUGAGGAAGAGAAAUGUGUCUGUGUGUGAUGGAGAGUGGCAAUCAGUACUAAGAUGUGCACCCAGUUUGUUGGGAAAAGUAAUGGGAUAUAAAGGAAAGCAGGAGCAGAGUGAAGGAAGCACAGAAGAGCUGAUGGGAAGCCCCUGAGACUCAGAGGCAAUCUCUGUUCUCCCUUGCCAGCAUGCUGCAGUGUGAUGGAUAAGCGUCUAAAACAUGGGAAAACCUGAAGCAAGGAAGCACUCCUAUCCCUGAUGAAGAUGCAUCAUCACUGGGCUUGGUUCAAAAACCAUUAAAGCUUCUGAGUGGUUCCAGUGGGAAUGAGAACAACCCUUUUUCUGAAGAAAUAGAGGAGGGCUGUCGAUCAUCGUUCUGAAAAACCCUGCAAGUGAUGGACUGUGUCACUGUGAGCUGUGGAAUUGUCACUCCUUCCUCUUGGUUGGGGAGGCAUUGCAGAGUGGUGAUAAGCUGGGGUCAGAGCUGGUGGAGAUUGGAAACUAAAAAAGGACAUAAAUCUGGGAUGGGAUAGAAGUGGGGAAGGUGGAUCCUUGAAUAGAGAGCUGUCCAUUGACACAUCACUCAGUGGUCCCUCUUGCUGUUUUAAGCAGCACAAGCAAAAUCCUAUGGGCCACUCCAUAGCUGGGAAAGCUGCCGUUGAGAGCUGCCUGAAUAAGGGAUGAGCCUGGGCUGAUCUCCUCAGCAUAAUCCAGCCCUCCUGGAUGUGACUGAGGGAUGUGGAGGAGGCGAAAGACACUUGAAACAAGAUAGCUUAAAACCAUUUUGUAUCUAAUUUGCAGCAAAGUUUUCUUUCAUCAUUUCCCUCUCUUCCGCCCCAACCUCCCUAUUUGUCUUAUCAAAUCUUGGCAGAGAUAGCUGUGCGGAAUAGGGAGCUGCUGUUGGGAAGCAGUUUUUCCAGCGGGGUAAUAAAGCAGUCUUACUGCAAUGAAUUUUAAAGGCUGUUUUUGCUGCCUCAAGAAAUGCUGAUUUAUGACUUGAAUGAGUCAUGCUUUUUGCAAUUAGCAGGACACCGUCUAGAACUCACAGAGCAUCUUAGGCAGAAAUAGACAUUGUCUCUUCUUUUUUUUCUUCCCCUGUUAUUUUUCUAUUUUACUUUCAUUCAACCACCAAGUGAAAUACUCUCCAGGAAAAAAGAAGCUUUGGCAGCCAGGCUAGGACUACUCUCAAUUUUGCUUCGGAGUUGAUAACAUUAUCCAGUAUGGCUCUCCAGGAAAAGAUAAACUCAUGGGCAGAUGGUGCUGACCCAGUUGCUAUUGGGAAUUUGGUGAUGCAGAGCACAGAGGCAGCGAUGGGAUUUCACUACCCUGAGGAGGUGCUGAGCACAUUCAGAUGUCUCCAAAGCUGGUGAGGUCAGUCCUAUAAUGAGCCCCUGUCGCGUGCCAGGAGUUGCUGAAGCUUUGGAAAGGAAGAUUUUGUCUGCUACAAACCCUGCCAUGGUACAGAGGUUAACUAGACACCUGAAAUUGCAACGCUGGAGUAGAUAAAGCAGCCUGGAAUCAGUUAACAAGCUUAAAUCACUGUUCACUCUGUCCUAUAUUACAACAGAAAAACCUUUGGAACUGAAAAUGCUGAGCUGCAUCUGCAGCUGGCAAUGAGGCAUGUAGCUCUGGCCCUGGGUUUGGCU